rnacentral:rRNA from 1 species
AGUGAACGCUAGCGGUAGGCCUAACACAUGCAAGUCGAACGGCAGCACAGGAGAGCUUGCUCUCUGGGUGGCGAGUGGCGGACGGGUGAGGAAUACAUCGGAAUCUACUCUGUCGUGGGGGAUAACGUAGGGAAACUUACGCUAAUACCGCAUACGACCUACGGGUGAAAGCAGGGGACCUUCGGGCCUUGCGCGAUUGAAUGAGCCGAUGUCGGAUUAGCUAGUUGGCGGGGUAAAGGCCCACCAAGGCGACGAUCCGUAGCUGGUCUGAGAGGAUGAUCAGCCACACUGGAACUGAGACACGGUCCAGACUCCUACGGGAGGCAGCAGUGGGGAAUAUUGGACAAGGGGCGCAAGCCUGAUUCAGCCAUACCGCGUGGGUGAAGAAGGCCUUCGGGUUGUAAAGCCCUUUUGUUGGGAAAGAAAUCCAGCUGGCUAAUACCCGGUUGGGAUGACGGUACCCAAAGAAUAAGCACCGGCUAACUUCGUGCCAGCAGCCGCCGUAA